rnacentral:lncRNA from 1 species
AAAAUGCUUUGAAAAUGUUUUAUUUCUUUUUAAAACCAAGUUAUUCACCCAUUUGAGCUUUGAAUAUUUUAAAAAAUAGCGUUUAUCUAUAAAUGGGGUUUAUUGCAUAAAUAAGCUAUCCCAUAUUUUUUGGAUAUUUAUUGGAGUUGAAAAACUUUUUCAUAGUUAAGUAGCCCUAAAGGCAUUUAUAGGGCAAAUGUAUUUAUAUAUAUUUUUUAUUUUGAGGGGAAAUUGCUCCCAAAAGUUGAAUCAUGCUAUAACAUGAUUUUACAAAUUUUCUGAAAUUUAUUUGGACCAAUUUGGAGUUUAAAAUCAAAAUUUACAAAGGAAAAACAUAAAAGGAAAACGAAAAGGAAAAAAAAGAGAAAACCGGACCGGCCCGGCCAAAUGGGCCGAACCGGCCUAGUACGUCACGCGCCCGAGCCCGACCGGCCCAGAGCCAGCGCGCGUGCGCGCCCGAGGCUGACAGGCGGGGCCCGCCUGUCAGAUCCAUCGUCUCUGAUGGGAAGGCACGCGCGAAUCACGCCGCACGUCCGCCCCGC